UGUAAACCAAAAUUAGAAAUAUUUUAAACAAAAAGUUAUCUUAAUCCUCUUAAUUCCUCCAUUGUUCCAGUUGUUCUGGGAUUGGUAAAAGGGCCACUGACUCUUAGCAAUGCCCCUUUCUACUAUCCAUUUGUGAGCCCAGGAAAGACACUGUUGUAGGCAUCCAACAGAUUAGUUACAAAGGGAUUUUGGUGGAUGGAAGUUCUGGGAUCUGGGGUUAUGAUCUGACAUUUUCAAGCUGAGACC
rnacentral:snoRNA from 1 species